CAAACUACGAAUUGUUCGCCAAACAACUACGAGUAAUACUUAAAACUUAAAAGACUUGACGGUACUUCACCCCGACCUAGAGGAGCCUGUCUAAUAACCGAUAACCCACGAUUAACCCAACCACUUCUUGCCCAACAGUCUAUAUACCACCGUCGCCAGCUUACCUUGUAAAAGAAAUAAAGUGAGCUAAACAGUAACACACUAAAACGACAGGUCGAGGUGUAACCCAUGAAGGGGGCCAAGAUGGGCUACAUUCUCCAACAGAGAAUACGAACAACACUAUGAAAUUAGUGUUUGAAGGCGGAUUUAGCAGUAAGAUAAGAAUAAAAUACCUAACUGAACACAACGCAAUGAAAUGCGCACACACCGCCCGUCAUCCCUGCCACCAC
rnacentral:rRNA from 1 species